UACGGAGGGUGCAAGCGUUAAUCGGAAUUACUGGGCGUAAAGCGUGCGCAGGCGGUUUGUUAAGUCCGUUGUGAAAUCCCCGAGCUCAACUUGGGAAUUGCAAUGGAUACUGGCAAGCUGGAGUAUGGUAGAGGAAGGUGGAAUUCCCGGUGUAGCAGUGAGAUGCGUAGAGAUCGGGAGGAACACCAGUGGCGAAGGCGGCCUUCUGGACCAAUACUGACGCUCAUGCACGAAAGCGUGGGGAGCAAACAGG
rnacentral:rRNA from 1 species